rnacentral:rRNA from 1 species
AGCAGCCGCGGUAAUUCCAGUUCCAAUAGCGUAUAUUAAAGUUGUUGCAGUUAAAAAGCUCGUAGUUGAAUUUCGGGAUCAAUUUGUUGGUCGUGCCUCGGUACGUACUGGCAGUUUUGAUUUCUCCCUUCUGAAGAACCAUGAUGUCAUUAAUUUGGUGUCAUGGGGAAUCAGGACCGUUACUUUGAAAAAUUAGAGUGUUUAAAGCAGGCUCGCGCUUGAAUACAUUAGCAUGGAAUAAUGAAAUAGGACGUUUGAUUCUAUUUUGUUGGUUUCUAGGAUCGACGUAAUGAUUAAUAGGGAUAGUUGGGAGCAUUAGUAUUCAAUUGUCAGAGGUGAAAUUCUUGGAUUUAUUGAAGACUAACUACUGCGAAAGCAUUUGCCAAGGAUGUUUUCAUUAAUCAAGAACGAAAGUUAGGGGAUCGAAGACGAUCAGAUACCGUCGUAGUC